GAUGAACGCUGGCGGCGUGCCUAAUACAUGCCAGUCGAGCGAACGGACGAGAAGCUUGCUUUUCUGAUGUUAGCGGCGGACGGGUGAGUAACACGUGGAUAACCUACCUAUAAGACUGGGAUAACUUCGGGAAACCGGAGCUAAUACCGGAUAAUAUUUUGAACCGCAUGGUUCAAAAGUGAAAGACGGUCUUGCUGUCACUUAUAGAUGGAUCCGCGCUGCAUUAGCUAGUUGGUAAGGUAACGGCUUACCAAGGCAACGAUGCAUAGCCGACCUGAGAGGGUGAUCGGCCACACUGGAACUGGGACACGGUCCAGACUCCUACGGGAGGCAGCAGUAGGGAAUCUUCCGCAAUGGGCGAAAGCCUGACGGAGCAACGCCGCGUGAGUGAUGAAGGUCUUCGGAUCGUAAAACUCUGUUAUUAGGGAAGAACAUAUGUGUAAGUAACUGUGCACAUCUUGACGGUACCUAAUCAGAAAGCCACGGCUAACUACGUG
rnacentral:rRNA from 1 species